rnacentral:rRNA from 1 species
CCGCAAAACACGCAAGUGUGACGGGGCUACCCAAAGUGCUCCAUAUAGGAGCUGUGGUAGGUGCGUAAUGUUCCCUACUAGAAAGGAGAGGGCAAGGCUGGUGCCAGCCGCCGCGGUAAAACCAGCUCUUCAAGUGGUCGGGAUAAUUAUUGGGCUUAAAGUGUCCGUAGCUGGUAAGGUAAGUUCCUGGUAAAAUUGGGCAGCUUAACUGUCCUUAUGCUAGGAAUACUGCUUUACUAGAGGGCGGGAGAGGUCUGAGGUACUACAGGGGUAGGAGUGAAAUCUUAUAAUCCUUGUAGGACCACCAGUGGCGAAGGCGUCAGACUGGAACGCGCCUGACGGUGAGGGACGAAAGCCAGGGGAGCGAACCGGAUUAGAUACCCGGGUAGUCCUGGCCGUAAACGAUGCACACUAGAUGAUGGUGCGGCCAUGAGCCGUAUCAGUGUCGUAGGGAAACCGUUAAGUGUGCCGCCUGGGAAGUACGGUCGCAAGGCUUAAACUUAAAGGAAUUGGCGGGGGAGCACCACAAGGGGUGAAGCCUGCGGUUCAAUUGGACUCAACGCCGGGCAACUUACCAGGGGAGACAGCAGAAUGAAGGUCAGGUUGACGACCUUACCUAACAAGCUGAGAGGAGGUGCAUGGCCGUCGCCAGUUCGUGCUGUGAGGUAUCCUGUUAAGUCAGGCAACGAACGAGACCCGUGCCUUUAUUUGCCAUCAAGAAGUCACGACUUCGUUGGGAACGAUAAAGGGACUGCCGUCGAUAAGACGGAGGAAGGAGCGGGCAAAGGCAGGUCAGUAUGCCCCGAAACCCCUGGGCUACACGCGGGCUGCAAUGGUGCGAACAAUGGGCUGUGACUCCGACAGGAGAAACCAAUCCCGAAAUCGCAUCUCAGUUGGGAUUGUCAACUGUAACCCGUUGACAUGAACGUGGAAUCCCUAGUAAUCGCGUGUCACCAUCGCGCGGUGAAUACGUCUCUGCUCCUGCACACACCGCCCGUCA